CCUCCCCUUCCUCCUCCUCCCCUUUAGCCUCCUGCCUUAAUAGCGGCUGCGCCUGCGAGGGGGGUCCGGAUGCCCGGUGCUCCGGGGUCACGGGCCCCAGACAGCUCUCCGGGGUCAGCGGGUCAGGGGCGCCGGCGGGCGGCGGCAGCGGCAGGGACAUGAGGAUGAGGUUAUGGGGAUAAAGAGGACAGGAAAAGGAGACAAAAUGGAGCAGCCAGAACAGUAGGAGGAGCACAAUUUUGAGCCGAAAUGUGGAACCCCCUGAGGAUGCUGCCGCCUGCCACUUUCUUGGACUGUGGACCUGAGGGCAUAACAUAUUGAAGAAACCCAGCGAUUUCUAACUGGCUAUCAUCACUUCAGAGAAUUUCCGAAGGCAAGAUCUGAUAAGAAUCCUCAAGAUUUGCCAUCUGAAUUUAAGGUAGGUAGGUCUCUCCUUCACCUGUUCAUUCAAUGGGUCUGAGCUAGAACUCCAACCCACUUUCCCCAAAUUUCCCUAUUACUUACAGAGCAG